rnacentral:rRNA from 1 species
UACGUAGGGUGCAAGCGUUGUCCGGAAUUAUUGGGCGUAAAGAGCUCGUAGGCGGUUUGUUGCGUCGGCUGUGAAAUCCCGAGGCUCAACCUCGGGUCUGCAGUCGAUACGAGCAAACUAGAGUGUUGCAGGGGAGACUGGAAUUCCUGGGUGUAGCGGUGAAAUGCGCAGAUAUCAGGAAGAACACCCGUGGCGAAGGCGGUUCUCUGGGACGGUACUGACGC